CCUACGGGGGGCAGCAGUGGGGAAUAUUGCACAAUGGGCGCAAGCCUGAUGCAGCCAUGCCGCGUGUGUGAAGAAGGCCUUCGGGUUGUAAAGCACUUUCAGCGGGGAGGAAGGCGGUGAGGUUAAUAACCUCAUCGAUUGACGUUACCCGCAGAAGAAGCACCGGCUAACUCCGUGCCAGCAGCCGCGGUAAUACGGAGGGUGCAAGCGUUAAUCGGAAUUACUGGGCGUAAAGCGCACGCAGGCGGUCUGUCAAGUCGGAUGUGGAAUCCCCGGGCUCAACCUGGGAACUGCAUUCGAAACUGGCAGGCUAGAGUCUUGUAGAGGGGGGUAGAAUUCCAGGUGUAGCGGUGAAAUGCGUAGAGAUCUGGAGGAAUACCGGUGGCGAAGGCGGCCCCCCGGACAAAGACUGACGCUCAGGUGCGAAAGCGUGGGGAGCAAACAGGAUUAGAUACCCGUGUAGUC
rnacentral:rRNA from 1 species